rnacentral:rRNA from 1 species
CUACGGGUGGCACCAGUGAGGAAUAUUGCACAAUGGGGGGAACCCUGAUGCAGCAACGCCGCGUGGAGGAUGACGCAUUUCGGUGUGUAAACUCCUUUUAUAUGUCAAGAAAAUGACGGUAGCAUAUGAAUAAGCACCGGCUAACUCCGUGCCAGCAGCCGCGGCAAUACGGAGGGUGCAAGCGUUACUCGGAAUCACUGGGCGUAAAGGACGCGUAGGCGGGUUGGAAAGUCAGGUGUGAAACCCUACAGCUUAACUGUAGAACUGCACUUGAAACUUCUAAUCUAGAGGAUGGGAGGGGGAGAUGGAAUUAGUGGUGUAGGGGUAAAAUCCGUAGAUAUCACUAGGAAUACCUAAAGCGAAGGCGAUCUCCUGGAACAUUACUGACGCUAAGGCGUGAAAGCGUGGAGAGCAAACAGGAUUAGAUACCCCCGUAGUC